rnacentral:rRNA from 1 species
UGGUCAAGUUAUUAAGGGUGCAGGGCGGAUGCCUUGGCACUAGGAGCCGAUGAAGGACGUGAUAAGCUGCGAUAAGCUUCGGGGAGUUGCACGUAAACUUUGAUCCGAAGAUUUCCGAAUGAGGAAACUCACUUAGAGUAAUGUCUAAGUAUCAUUAAGUGAAUACAUAGCUUAAUGAGGGGAACUCAGGGAACUGAAACAUCUAAGUACCUGAAGGAAGAGAAAGAAAUUCGAUUCCGUAAGUAGCGGCGAGCGAACGCGGAUUAGCCCAAACCAAUAAAGUUUUCUUUAUUGGGGUUGCGGACAUAUCAUAACGAAGAGGUAUCGUAAUUGAAGAGGUUUGGAAAGACCCACACAGAAGGUAAUAGUCCUGUAUGUUAAACGAGAAGACUUCAGAUAUGAUCCAGAGUACCACGGGACACGUGAAACCCUGUGGGAAGCAGGAGGGACCACCCUCCAAGGCUAAAUACUACCUAGUGACCGAUAGCGUAUAGUACCGUGAGGGAAAGGUGAAAAGAACCCCGGGAGGGGAGUGAAAUAGAACCUGAAACCCUGCACUUACAAGCUGUGGAAGCACAUUUCUUGUGUGACCGCGUACUUUUUGUAGAACGGGCCAACGAGUUACGUUAAGUAGCAAGGUUAAGCACUUAAGGUGCGGAGCCGUAGCGAAAGCGAGUUUUAACUGAGCGUUCAGUUACUUGACGUAGACCCGAAACCGGGCGACCUACCCAUGAGCAGGAUGAAGCGAAAGUAAAAUUUCGUGGAGGUCCGAACCCACGAGCGUUGAAAAGCUCGGGGAUGACUUGUGGAUAGCGGUGAAAUUCCAAUCGAGCCCGGAGAUAGCUGGUUCUCCCCGAAAUAGCUUUAGGGCUAGCCUCAAGGUGAGAGAUACGGAGGUAGAGCACUGAAUGUCCUAGGGGGUAUUGCACCUACCGAAGACUAUCAAACUCCGAAUG